AUUGAACGCUGGCGGCAGGCCUAACACAUGCAAGUCGAACGAGUGGCGGACGGGUGAGUAAUGUCUGGGAAACUGCCCGAUGGCGGGGGAUAACUACUGGAAACAGUAGCUAAUACCGCAUACCCUCGGAUGUGCCCAGAUGGGAUUAGCUAGUAGGUGGGGUAACGGCUCACCUAGGCGAAGAUCCCUAGAUGGUCUGAGAGGAUGACCAGCCACACUGGAACUGAGACCCGGUCCAGACUCCUACGUGAGGCAGCAGUGGGGAAUAUUGCACAAUGGGCGCAAGCCUGAUGCAGACAGGCCGCGUGUAUGAAGAAGGCCUUCGGGUUGUAAAGUACUUUCAGCGGGGAGGCGUUACCCGCAGAAGAAGCACCGGCUAACUCCGUGCCAGCAGCCGCGGUAAUAG
rnacentral:rRNA from 1 species